rnacentral:rRNA from 1 species
GCAAGUCGAGCGAACAGAUAAGGAGCUUGCUCCUUUGACGUUAGCGGCGGACGGGUGAGUAACACGUGGGUAACCUACCUAUAAGACUGGGAUAACUUCGGGAAACCGGAGCUAAUACCGGAUAACAUUUGGAACCGCAUGGUUCUAAAGUGAAAGAUGGUUUUGCUAUCACUUAUAGAUGGACCCGCGCCGUAUUAGCUAGUUGGUAAGGUAACGGCUUACCAAGGCGACGAUACGUAGCCGACCUGAGAGGGUGAUCGGCCACACUGGAACUGAGACACGGUCCAGACUCCUACGGGAGGCAGCAGUAGGGAAUCUUCCGCAAUGGGCGAAAGCCUGACGGAGCAACGCCGCGUGAGUGAUGAAGGGUUUCGGCUCGUAAAACUCUGUUAUUAGGGAAGAACAAAUGUGUAAGUAACUGUGCACGUCUUGACGGUACCUAAUCAGAAAGCCACGGCUAACUACGUGCCAGCAGCCGCGGUAAUACGUAGGUGGCAAGCGUUAUCCGGAAUUAUUGGGCGUAAAGCGCGCGUAGGCGGUUUCUUAAGUCUGAUGUGAAAGCCCACGGCUCAACCGUGGAGGGUCAUUGGAAACUGGGAAACUUGAGUGCAGAAGAGGAAAGUGGAAUUCCAUGUGUAGCGGUGAAAUGCGCAGAGAUAUGGAGGAACACCAGUGGCGAAGGCGACUUUCUGGUCUGUAACUGACGCUGAUGUGCGAAAGCGUGGGGAUCAAACAGGAUUAGAUACCCUGGUAGUCCACGCCGUAAACGAUGAGUGCUAAGUGUUAGGGGGUUUCCGCCCCUUAGUGCUGCAGCUAACGCAUUAAGCACUCCGCCUGGGGAGUACGACCGCAAGGUUGAAACUCAAAGGAAUUGACGGGGACCCGCACAAGCGGUGGAGCAUGUGGUUUAAUUCGAAGCAACGCGAAGAACCUUACCAAAUCUUGACAUCCUUUGAAAACUCUAGAGAUAGAGCUUUCCCCUUCGGGGGACAAAGUGACAGGUGGUGCAUGGUUGUCGUCAGCUCGUGUCGUGAGAUGUUGGGUUAAGUCCCGCAACGAGCGCAACCCUUAAGCUUAGUUGCCAUCAUUAAGUUGGGCACUCUAGGUUGACUGCCGGUGACAAACCGGAGGAAGGUGGGGAUGACGUCAAAUCAUCAUGCCCCUUAUGAUUUGGGCUACACACGUGCUACAAUGGACAAUACAAAGGGCAGCUAAACCGCGAGGUCAUGCAAAUCCCAUAAAGUUGUUCUCAGUUCGGAUUGUAGUCUGCAACUCGACUACAUGAAGCUGGAAUCGCUAGUAAUCGUAGAUCAGCAUGCUACGGUGAAUACGUUCCCGGGUCUUGUACACACCGCCCGUCACACCACGAGAGUUUGUAACACCCGAAGCCGGUGGAGUAACCAUUUAUGGAGCUAGCCGUCG